UACGUAGGGGGCUAGCGUUGUCCGGAAUCAUUGGGCGUAAAGCGCGUGUAGGCGGUCCGGUAAGUCCGCUGUGAAAGUCGAGGGCUCAACCCUCGAAUGCCGGUGGAUACUGUCGGGCUAGAGUACGGAAGAGGCGAGUGGAAUUCCUGGUGUAGCGGUGAAAUGCGCGGAUAUCAGGAGGAACACCAAUUGCGAAGGCAGCUCGCUGGGACGUUACUGACGCUGAGACGCGAAAGCGUGGGGAGCAAACAGG
rnacentral:rRNA from 1 species